UACCAGCACCCCGAGUGGUCGGGACGAUUAUUGGGCCUAAAGCAUCCGUAGCCGGUUCUACAAGUCUUCCGUUAAAUCCACCUGCUUAACAGAUGGCUGCGGAGGAUACUAUAGAGCUAGGAGGCGGGAGAGGCAAGCGGUACUUAGUGGGUAGGGGUAAAAUCCGUUGAUCCAUUGAAGACCACCAGUGGCGAAGGCGGCUUGCCAGAACGCACUCGACGGUGAGGGAUG
rnacentral:rRNA from 1 species